GGUCAAGCUAAUAAGGGCUAACGGUGGAUACCUAGGCACACGGAAGCGAAGAAGGACGUAGUUACCGACGAAACGCUUCGGGGAGCGGGAAGCAAGCAUUGAUCCGAAGAUAUCCGAAUGGGGCAACCCUAAACACGACCACCUGAAUACAUAGGGUGGAGCGAGCAAACCUGGUGAACUGAAACAUCUUAGUAGCCAGAGGAAAAGAAAGCAACAGCGAUUCCCCCAGUAGCGGCGAGCGAAAAGGGAACAGCCUAAACCAAGUUCUGCGGAACUUGGGGUCGUGGGACAGUGACAAAAGACUGGGAAAUUUAGACGAAGCGGCUGAAAACCGCACCAGAGAAGGUGAAAGUCCUGUAGUCGAAAAAGGCACCAGCUUAACUGCAUCCCGAGUAGCAUGGGGCACGUGAAAUCCCGUGUGAAUCUGCCUCGACCACGAGGUAAGGCUAAAUAUUCCCGUGUGACCGAUAGAGAAACAGUACCGCGAGGGAAAGGUGAAAAGAACCCCGGAAGGGGAGUGAAAUAGAACAUGAAACCGUUAGCCUACAAGCAAUGGGAGGACGAUUGAACGUCUGACCGUGUGCCUGUUGAAGAAUGAGCCGGCGACUUACAGGUUAUGGCAGGUGAAGGGGGAAGACCCCACAGCCCCAGCGAAAGCGAGUCUGAAGAGGGCGAAGCGUCAUAAUUUGUAGACCCGAACCCGGGUGAUCUAACCAUGGCCAGGAUGAAGCUUGGGUAAAACCAAGUGGAGGUCCGAACCGACUAAUGUUGAAAAAUUAGCGGAUGAGCUGUGGUUAGGGGUGAAAUGCCAAUCGAACUCGGAGCUAGCUGGUUCUCCCCGAAAUGUGUUGAGGCGCAGCGGUAGUGGAAGUUUAGUCGGGGUAAAGCACUGUUUCGCCGCGGGCUGGGAGACCGGUACCAAGGCGAGGCAAACUCUGAAUACGGCUAAAAAAACUACCAGUGAGACGGUGGGGGAUAAGCUUCAUCGUCAAGAGGGAAACAGCCCAGACCACCAGCUAAGGUCCCCAAAUGAUAACUAAGUGAGAAAGGAGGUGGGAGUGCAUGGACAACCAGGAGGUUUGCCUAGAAGCAGCAAUCCUUAAAAGAGUGCGUAAUAGCUCACUGGUCAAGCGCUCCUGCGCCGAAAAUGAACGGGGCUAAGUUAUCUACCGAAGCUGUGGACUACAUUGUAGUGGUAGGGGAGCGUUCUAUAGGGGGUGAAGCAGUAGCGGCAAGCAGCUGUGGACUCUAUAGAAGUGAGAAUGUCGGCUUAAGUAGCGAAAAUGUGGGUGAGAAUCCCACACCCCGAAACCCCAAGGUUUCCUCCGCAAGGCUCGUCCGCGGAGGGUCAGUCAGGACCUAAGGCGAGGCUGAAAAGCGUAGUCGAUGGACAACGGGUUAACAUUCCCGUACCGAUUAAUGAUUGUGCCGGAGAACGGAGAAGGUCAACGUCAGCUGGAUGUUGGUUACCAGUGCAAGCAGUCGAGGCGAUGAGAGGUGGUGAAAACACCUGGAGCUAAGACGCGAGUCCCACCUCCCACGGGAGGGAAGUGGCGCUGAUCAAGCUUCCUAGAAAAGCCCGAACCACGUUAAUCAUUAAUUGCCUGUACCCGAAACCGACACAGGUGGGGAAGUAGAGAAUACUAAGGGGCGCGAGAUAACUCUCUCUAAGGAACUCGGCAAAAUGACCCCGUAACUUCGGGAGAAGGGGUACCCUCGCAAGAGGGUCGCAGUGAAUAGGCCCAGGCGACUGUUUACCAAAAACACAGGUCUCCGCCAAGUCGUAAGACGCAGUAUGGAGGCUGACGCCUGCCCAGUGCCGGAAGGUUAAGGAAGUUGGUCAGGAGUAAUCUGAAGCUGACGACCGAAGCCCCGGUGAACGGCGGCCGUAACUAUAACGGUCCUAAGGUAGCGAAAUUCCUUGUCGGGUAAGUUCCGACCCGCACGAAAGGCGUAACGAUCUGGGCACUGUCUCGGAGAGAGACUCGGCGAAAUAGGAUUGUCUGUGAAGAUACGGACUACCUGCACCUGGACAGAAAGACCCUAUGAAGCUUUACUGUAGCCUGGCAUUGGCUUCGGGCUUCGCUUGCGCAGGAUAGGUGGGAAGCUUUGAAACUCUCCUCGUGGGGAGAGUGGAGCUAACGGUGAGAUACCACUCUGGCGAGGCUAGAAUUCUAACCCUGACCCCUCAUCGGGGCGGGAGACAGUUUCAGGUGGGCAGUUUGACUGGGGCGGUCGCCUCCUAAAAGGUAACGGAGGCGCGCAAAGGUUCCCUCGGUCCCGUUGGAAAUGGGACGAUAGAGUGCAAAAGCAGAAGGGAGCUUGACUGUGAGACCCACAAGUCGAACAGGGACGAAAGUCGGCUUUAGUGAUCCGACGGCACCGCGUGGAAGGGCCGUCGCUCAACGGAUAAAAGUUACUCUAGGGAUAACAGGCUGAUCUCCCCCAAGAGUUCACAUCGACGGGGAGGUUUGGCACCUCGAUGUCGGCUCAUCGCAACCUGGGGCUGAAGUCGGUCCCAAGGGUUGGGCUGUUCGCCCAUUAAAGCGGUACGUGAGCUGGGUUCAGAACGUCGUGAGACAGUUCGGUCCAUAUCCGGUGUAGGCGUAAGAGCAUUGCGAGGAGCCUUCCUUAGUACGAGAGGACCGGGAAGGACGCACCGCUGGUGUACCUGUUAUCGUGCCAACGGUAAACGCAGGGUAGCCAUGUGCGGAGCGGAUAACCGCUGAAAGCAUCUAAGUGGGAAGCCCACCUCCAGAUGAUUGCUCUCAUGGCAUUAAGCCAGUAAGGUCUCGGGUAGACUACCCGUUGAUAGGCUCUAGAUGGAAGCUCGGUAACGAGUGCAGUCGAGGAGUACUAACCGACCGAGGGCUUGACCUG
rnacentral:rRNA from 1 species